rnacentral:lncRNA from 1 species
UAGUCUAUAUAGGGGCAGGCGUGGCCAUAGCCGCAGGAGUCCGUUGUGUGGCAAGAAACUCGUUUCCUAAUCAUGUGGUUCCGGGUUCAGUCCCAUUGCGUGACACCUUUGGCAAGUAAGUUCUACUAUUGCCCCGGGACGACCAAAGCCUUUUGAAUGGAUUUGGCUGACGAAAACUGAAAGAAACCCGUCAAACAUGCGUGUGUGUGUGUGUGUGCGUGUAUCCUUGUGUCUGUGUUUGACAACCGUAAAUGGUAUGUUUACGUCCUCGUAAAGAAAAUAGUCUAGGCUUAAGUACUAGGUUUACAAAAAAAUAAGUCCUGGGGUCGAUUUGUUUGACUAAAUCCUUCAGAAUACCCAAAACAAGAAAGAAAUAAAAUCACAAAGUUGAAUCGCUCUGUCAUCAGGCUGAAAUUCUUGGGAUAUGAACGUGUUGAGAAUAUACCACCAGUAUUACCCAAACGACCUUAGCAUCGAAUUCAGAAUUCAUCCAACGCCGGAGCCAUGACACAUAUGCCUCCUACAGACACACACACAUGCUGGAGCAAUGUCACAUAUGCCCCCUACACACACAUGCUGGAGGAUGUAAUAUGCCCCCUACACACACAUGCUGGAGUCAUGUAACAUAAUGCCCUUACACAUACGCACACACAUUGGAGCCAUGUCACAUAUAACCCCUGCACACACACACACGCUGGAGCUAUGUAACAUGUGCUCACUACACAUACAAACACACACUAGAGCCAUGUAACAUAUGGCCCCUACACACACACACACACACACAUACACACGCACAAACACGCUGCAGCCAUGUAACAUAUGCCUCCCCACCCCAGCACACACACACACACAGACAUACACACAUGCAAAAACAUUUCAAGCUUACAACACAUAAAUUCACGGUAAUAAAUUUUCUUUUUCUCGGGUUCUGCUCUAUUCAACAUUAUCUCAAAAUAAAUUAAAGAUCUCAUCAUCUUCAAACGAUAGCUGGACAAAUUUCUUCAAGGGAUACCAGUUAAUCCACCCACACCUAGAUACAUCUCUCUUAAUAACAACUCCCUGAUUCUGUUCUACUCAAGGCAUACGGCCCGAAAUUUUUGGGGAGGGAGCCAGUCGAUUGGAUCAGCUCCAGUACACAGCUGGUACUCAAUUUAUCAACCCCGAAGGGAUAAAAGCAAAGUCAACCUCGGCGGAAUCUGAACUCAGAACGUAAAGACCUAUUUCUUUACUACCCACAAGGGGCUAAACAUAGAGGGGACGAACAAGGACAGACAAACGGAUUAAGUCAAUUAUAUCGACCCUAAUGCGUAACUGGUACUUAUUUAAUCGACCCCGAAAGGAUGAAUGGCAAAGUCGACCUCCGCGGAAUUUGGACUCAGAACGUACUUCAGCUUUAUUAUUAUUCUUAUUUUAGUAUUCUUAUUUUAGUGUACUUUGUUUGAAACAUUUCGUCACACAUCCUGUGACUUCAUCAGCGACUCUCAAUUCCACAUGACUCCUCCUAUACACACACACACAUAUAUAUAUAUAUAUAUAUAUAUAUAUAUAGUUUUAUAUAUAUAUAUAUAUAUAUUUAUAUAUAUAUGUUUAUAUAUGUAUAUAUAUAUAUAUAUAUAUAUAUAUAUAUAUAUAUAUAUAUAUAUAUAUAUAUAUAUAUAUAUAUAUAUAUAUAUAUAUAUAUAUAUAUAUAUAUAUAUAUAUAUAUAUAUAUAUAUAUAUAUAUAUAUAUAUAUAUAUAUAUAUAUAUAUAUGUAUAUGUAUAUAUAUAUAUAUAUAUAUAUAUAUAUAUAUAUAUAUAUCUUCCCCGUCUGUCUUGAUAGACAAUGGGUUGCGCCAAGGGUGGGGCCUACUUUGAUGAUGAGCAGCGUCUGCUGUGACUGAACAGUCCAAUUCAAGAGUGGCAGUCCUUGGUACAGUUGCUGCACACGAACAUCGAUGGGUACGUGUGGGGUGUUGCUGCAGUUGUCCUCCUCCUGUCCCGCCUGUCCAACCACAAUUGUGCUCUCCUUUCCUCAGCCAUGGAAACGCCUUUCCUCACCGUCCGACGCCAGGCAGAGCGGUCAGCAGCUGUUUCCUCCCACGUGUCCACACAGAUGUUGGCAGUCCUCAGGUCGCGCUUGCACACAUCCCUGUAUCGUAGCUGUGGACGUCCCUUGGGUCGGAAUCCCGUGGUGAGUUCGCUGUACAGGAUGUCUUUAGGCAUGCGACCGUCCUGCAUGCGGCAGACGUGUCCGAGCCAGCGCAGUCGUCUCCGCACGAGGAGGGCAUGCAUGCAUGGCAUAUUAGUUUGUUCUAGGAUGACUCCGUUUGGUACUCGGUCCUUCCAGGAGAUGCCAAGGAUCUAUAUAUAUAUAGGUGAGAAAGUUGGUCUGUGAAAGCAUGUGGUAUUUUCUAUAUAUAUAUAUAUAUAUAUAUAUAUAUAUCUUAUCCAUUCACAAGGUUCUGGUCAGCCCGAGGCUAUAGUAAAAGAUCCAUGCAGCGGGACUGGACCCGGAACCAUGUAAUUGGGAAGCAAACUUCUUACCACGCAGCCACGCCUGUGCCUAUCUAAGUUUUAUUAUCUAAUGACUAAUUUGACAAUCAUUUCAUUAACAGCAAACGAACACACAAUACGAUAGUUAUCUUCUGGUUUGUUACAGUUACUCAUUUUGGUGAGACCGUAAAUAAUUUCAGGUGUAUUUUAGUGUGAAAUAACUAAAUAAGUACCAUCUAGUGUUGCAUAAAACCUCACAAUCGCCAAACUGAGAUGAAUCUUCCUUUUCUACAAACAGUAGCGGAGGAACUAAUAAACAGUUUUAGCGAUUCCAAUACUGUGGAGAUUAGUAUAAAAAUAUAUGAUGAAUGACAGCAAUACGUUUUUUGAAUCGAACAAGCUAUUUGAUUAUCUGUUACAGUCGUACAAUUAAAUCAUACUUAUAUAUAGGAUACAAAAAAAUAGAAUAACAAUAAAGCGAAGAUAAAAAGAAGAUAUAAAAUUAGCAGAGAGGAAAUAACUAAAUUAUGAUAUUGUUUUUGUCAAACAUUUUUCAUUAUUCGUGUUGGUUAAGAAAAUAUUUCUAUAUUAGAUUUAAGGGAACUUUGCCGAUAUUGAGUUUAUGGAUGGAAUUACAUCGCUGUAUAUCGUUUCUUACUUUUGUCCGUUUACAAUAUUAAACUUAUUUCUUGUAAAAUAAGUAUCUUUCUUGAAAGCAUUGCGCUUAAUGCUUCGUCAUAAAAUAUAUGCAUGGUUAUAAAAUAUGUGCGUGUGCGUGUGUGUGCAUAUAUAUAUGUGUGUGUGUGUGUAUAUGUAUGAGUGUGUAUAUGUAUAUGUGUGUGUAUAUGUAUAUAUGUGUGUGUGUAUAUGUAUAUAUGUGUGUGUGUAUAUGUAUAUAUGUGUGUGUGUAUAUGUAUAUAUGUGUGUGUGUAUAUAUAUGUAUGUGUGUGUAUGUAUAUAUAUGUGUUUGUGUGUAUAUGUAUAUAUAUAUGUGUGUAUAUAUAUGUGUUAUAUGUCUAUAUAUACAUACACACACACAUUUAUAUAUAUAUAUAUAUAUAUAUAUAUAUAUAUAUAUAUAUAUAAAGUAUGUGGGGAUGUUUCUGUGUGCGCCUGCUUAUAUAUGCGUUUGCGAACAUAUACACUGCGAUGUCGGGGUUGACAUAAACAUACAGACAUUAUAUAUAUAUAUAUAUAUAUAUAUAUAUAUAUAUACAUAUAUACAUACAUACAUACAUGCAUACAUGCAUACAUACAUACAUGCAUACAUACAUACAUACAUACAUACAUACAUACAUACAUACGUAUUUCCAUAUAUCAUCCACCUAUGCAAUGAAUCGAUAGUCUUUCAACCUCGCUCUUUAUCCCCGCAUAUCUCAUCCCCUCUCACCUUCUCCCCUGUGUCUCUCUCCCUCUUUCACGCUUUCUAUUUCUUUCUCCCUCUUCCCCUUCCCCUCUCUCUCAUCCUUCUCCCUACUUGAACUAUAAACUCAACGAAUGAAAGCCAAACAGGAUCACACGAGUUCAAUCAACGGUAAACCCAGGAGGAACAAACAAACUAGUUUGCAUAUCUUAUUGAUUUCGAAUCGAAAAAUGCGUAGCGUGAGGUAAUGGUGGUGGUGGUGGUGGUGGAGGGGGGUCGACAGUAGUAGUGGGGGGAGGGGUCACUGAAAUAAUCUUUGUUGUGAGGGUCGGAGCUGAGUGAAGUCACAGUACUGAUCUUGAUGGACAUCAGCGUCGUGUUCACGCAGUGGUGGUAGUGGCGGCGGUGGCAGCGGUGGUGGUGGUGGUGAUUAUGGUGGUGUUGGGGUGUUGGUGGUCGUGGUCGUGGUCGUCGUGGCUGUAGUGGUGGUGGUUUCAGUGGUGGUGAUGACGAUGACCAUGGCUAUACUCACGACGACGAUGAUGAUGAGGAUGAUGAUGAUGAUGAUAAUAGUGAUGAUGAUGAUGAUGAUGAUGACGAUGCUGACGAUGAUGAUGACGAUAAUUCACCUUGUAGUUAGUAGCGGCGGCAGUUUUAACGACAGUGAAACGGUGAAGUCAUAAGCCACGUGGUCGGGUGGUUUAGUGUUGCGUAUAAUAAGCAUGGACUGGUGUGAUAUGCUGUGAUAUCGUGCGAGAUAGUAUGGGAACUUUAUGGCAAGAUGUGGUAUGGCAUGAUAUGCUGUAGUAUGGUGCAGUGAUGGUACUACGGUCAUGGCAUGGUACUACGGUCAUGGCAGUUGUAGUAUUGGUUAUACGAUGGUGAUGGAGGCGAAUGUGUAGGCGAGAUUGUAGAGGUGUACGGCUUCAUAGUUAUUUCACUGGCAUUCUAAUUUCAGUAAAUCAACGUAAUGUGUAAUUACCUCCGCUCGGAGAAGAGUGUGAUUGCAGUAACGGCGAGUGUAGCGGUGGUGGUGGUGGCGGCGGUGGUGGUGGUGGUGGUGGUGGUGGUGGUGGUGGUGCUGGUGUGGUGGUGGUGGCGGUGGUGGUGGUGGUGGUGGUGGUGGUGGUGGUGGUGGCGGUGCUGGUGGUGCUGGUGGUGGUG